CAUCGCCGCGGUAAUACGUAGGGUGCAAGCGUUAAUCGGAAUUACUGGGCGUAAAGCGUGCGCAGGCGGUUAUAUAAGACAGAUGUGAAAUCCCCGGGCUCAACCUGGGAACUGCAUUUGUGACUGUAUAGCUAGAGUACGGCAGAGGGGGAUGGAAUUCCGCGUGUAGCAGUAAAAUGCGUAGAUAUGCGGAGGAACACCGAUGGCGAAGGCAAUCCCCUGGGCCUGUACUGACGCUCAUGCACGAAAGCGUGGGGAGCAAACAGGAUUAGAUACCCCUGUAGUCCCUGUCUCUUAUACA
rnacentral:rRNA from 1 species